ACCUGCCCUCCCACCAGAUACCUGCCAGGCCUUGUGCUGGGCACUGAAGAUGCAGAGCUUCCUAAGCCUCUAACCCCACCCUCAAGGAGCUCCCACUCCAGUGAGGAAGGCAGACCCCAUACCAUAGCGUUACCAGGCUGCGUACUAACAUCUGAUCGUCAGAACCAUUCCCAACUCAGAGAUUAAGUGUGAUAGGCAGCCUGUUUCAACCAGAGCAUUUCUUCUAGAUUUUUGUUCUUGCUUUUCAAAGUGACUCAUUGGAAAAAUUUUGGUCGAUACAGACCCUGAAGCACAAAGUAGAACAUGAAAUUUACACUAAUCAAGGCUGUUGGUUUUUUCAACUUCCCUUCCCUCUGCCUGAUCUGGAGACUGAGGUAAAGCAGAGCACACCUGGAUGGGGUUGGCCCUGCGUCUCAGGCCAACAGCGUCUGUCCUCCACAGGUGAGGGUAACCUGAGACGGUGCCAGGAGGGAGGAUGCAGCUUUCCUCUUGCCCCCCAGCCCCCGACCCUGAACUUUCUCCUCCUGAGCUCCGAUCUGCCUUCACUUCCCAUUUGUUCUCUCUCAUUGACCCCAACUCACAUGAAUGUGAGCACUUAGAUGCAAGGACUUUCUAGGGAAAUUAAAGGUGUACAGUACCCCCACUCCUUCCUUCUUUCACUCCCUUAUCCUGAGGACUAAGAGGAAGAGCUGAAGGGGCAACGUGCCAGGGGACUAUUAGAGGCCAGGGGACAAGCGGGCCUGGCAACAAGCCACGGUUGCAGGUGCUGACUGGCCCCCCGAUCCCUACCCACUGGGUGCCCAGGGUGUGUGAGGUGGAGGUGGCCCUAGAGGUGGAAGAGCUGCCCCCGAACAUGCAGGGCCUGUGGUUUCACUGAAGACAGCAGGUUAACAUGGAGGAAACAGGAUGAGACAGGGCAGGCUGGCUUGUGGUCUUUUCUGAGUGACCCCUAAACCAGGGACUCAGACAGGUCUGGGGCUGGGGAAGCUGCUGGGUGGGAGCAUUUUCCCCAGUUCCUAUAAUGCAAAAUAACAGUCACUUCCCUUGCUCCAAAGCUUCGUUGCUGGCUGCAGUCAGUCUGGGCUCUUGCCCAUACUUCGUUCUUCUCCUCCAAUCACAGGGAGGGGUUGGUGGAGUCACUCGCUUGCCCAGUCAUUCCAUCAGCAGAUGUUUGCUGAGUGCUGAUUGGGUGCCAGGCACUGUGCCUGACCCUGGGGACACAAUGCUGAGCAAAACAGACAUGGCCUCUUUCCCCUAGCAGACCUACAUCUGAAGGCAAGCAUCCCAGUUUUCAGCUUGAAACCACCCUGCAGCUCCAGGGAUGGGACAGGCAGGUGGAGAGAGGAGUUUGGGUUGAGACUGUAUAAAGACUCAGACUGAACCCUUACUCUUAAAUUAGACAGAGAUCUACUACUGCCCCCCAAACACCCUUCCCCAAUGAAGGGCCGCUGGGAAGGGGUGUGGGGAUAGAGAACCAACAUUUGUUUAGUUCUGAAAGUGCUAGGAAUAGAGUAGGCUGAGUGCCUCACAUUUCUUGUCUUAAUCCUCACCAAAACCCUGGGAGGUGAAUAUCAUAAUCCCAAUUUGCAGACCAGGAAGCUGAGGCUCAAUGGAACAAAUUAUCUCAUCAUUAUCGUGGGUAAUGCAUAACCCGGUCUGGCUGCAGGGCCUAUGCCUUUUCCACAACAUGAAUUAUCUCUGGGAAACAUACAAGACCUUCGUUCUCCCCUCUGAGCACUGCAGACAUGUGAAGACCUUGACCCCCUGGGAAAUUGUUCCCACUCUCUGCUUUGAAGAAAAUGAUAGAGGAAGUGCCAGAGUGCACUCUCUUCCCUUUCUAAACGUCGGCCUCUCUUUUCCCUCCUGCAUCUUCCUAGUCCUGGAAAUCCCUGUUGUCCCCGCCUUUGUCCCAGAAAAUCCCAAAAACGCUUCACGUGAGUCUAUUUAAAUCCCCACUCUCAGCACUCAGGACCGGUUCUGGUUUCCUGGUGUGGCCUGGGCCUCCAUCUGGUUUGGAGGCUAUUUUGAUCCACCGGAUGCAGAUUAGCUGCUGCGAUCUGGGGCUGAGCUGCUGGAGAGACGCCUUUAUCUACAGAAGGACAAUUUGAAAACUAACUCAAAGCAUCGAGAACAAAUAAAUAAAUUCCUCUUUCCGUUCCCAGCACUCUCCAUCCCAUUUCUACAGGUAAUUGCUGAAGGAUUUUUGCUUCAAACAGGCUCUUGUUUGCAUCAAGUGUGGGGUGCAGCAAAGUGGACUCGGGACUGGCCGAUGUCUGGCCAGAAAUGCCAGGCAAGGGAAACAGUGACUCUCGUGGGGUCAGGAGAGGGGCAUCUGCUGGCCCAGGAGCGCAAGGCAGAGGAGUGAGUCUUUCUGAGGAGCUCAUGGCACUUGAAAAUAUGGGCUUUGCAUCAUGCAGGUGAGGCGACUCUGAGGCAGGAGGUCCAAGUUUGCUGGACAAUGGCAGAAACAGAAUUCAAAAACACCUGUCUUCUAGGAGAAGUUCUGGUCUCUCCUCGGUGCUGUGGCUGCCCCAGGAAGAGCUUCCAGGAGCUGACAAGCAUUCAGAUGAGUAAAGAUGGGAUCAGAUUGAGAAAAGAAGAAGGGAGAGCAUAUUCAUUCUCUUUCCACUUCCCUCCCACAGCCUUUCAUGCUGAUCUCAUCUGAGGAGGCUGCCUCCUCCUCCCUGGACUCUACAAGCCCCUGUCAUGGUCAGCGGCAAUGUUGUCCACAGUGGGUGGCCAGCCUUGAUCUAGCAGUAAAGGAUGGAUUCUGUUAUUUCAGUGAUGUGGGGCUCAGGGUAAUGAAAGUGAUCAUCAAAAAGCAAAAGUAAAGCUGUCCUCACAGGGUUAACAAGAAUUCUGGGCAGAAAUACGGCUAUAAUUAGGCAUUAAUCAGGCUGCACUUUAACCCACUUCCUUGUAACUGACAGACACGGUAGGACUAGAUACUGGCCGUUUGCAUCCCUAAUGUUCCUAUAGAUGGGAUUUCUGAUGUUAGAGCUAUAAGGCUUUUGUUUAAGACAGACAAGAUCUUUGACAUUAGAAUCAUAAGGCUCCUGUUUAAAAAUUGCUUAAGAUGUUUCUCAGAUCCUGAAUUCCAGCAAAACAGAUGGUACUAACAAGUUUGAAGACCCCCAUAGAGGAAUGGAAUCAGUAUGAGAACACAGUUUCUUCAUCUCCCCGUCCCAGAACUUCACCCUGGACUCCUCGACCAAUCAACAAUCUCCACACUUCGGCCCACUCCAAAACUCCUAAAAUCCCAAGCCCCAAACUCCUCUGGGAGAUGGAUUUGAGGCUUCCUCCCGUUUCCUUGUGUGGCAGCCCUGUCAUUAAACCUCUUUCUCUGCUGCAACCUGAUGUACUUGGUGUAUUGACUUGCCAUGCA